AACCAUAGAAACCUGCGGAGUACCUGCGGAAGGAUCAUUAAAGAGUGAUACCUCCCUUCAAAGGGCUGGUAGUAAACUCCAACCCCUAUGUUUUUAUUUACCUUUUUGUUGCUUAGGCGGUUCGUAAAGCAUUUUUUUUUUUUAAAAAAAAUGGCUUUCCAUUGGCUUUUUUCUUAGGCUGAUGAGUUUUAACCGCCUAAGGACUUAAAAACUCUUUGAAAUUUAAGUUUAUUGUCUGAG
rnacentral:misc_RNA from 1 species